AUUGAACGCUGGCGGAGUGACUAAUACAUGCACGUCGAGCGAAGCGGCGGAUGGGUGAGUAACGCGUGGGUAACCUGCCCUUAAGUCUGGGAUACCAUUUGGAAACAGAUGCUAAUACCGGAUACUAAAGGAUGGACCUGAGAUGCAUUAGCUAGUUGGUAAGGUAACGGCUUACAAAGGCGAUGAUGCAUAGGCGAGUUGAGAGACUGAUCGGCCAAAUUGGGACUGAGUCACGGUCCAGACUCCUACGGGAGGCAGCAGGGGGGAAUAGUGCACAAUGGGCGAAAGCCUGAUGCAGCCAUGCCGCGUGUAUGAAGAAGGCCUUCGGGUUGUAAAGUACUUUCAGCGAGGAGGCGUUACUCGCAGAAGAAGCACCGGCUAACUCCGUGCCAGCAGCCGCGGUAAUA
rnacentral:rRNA from 1 species